AGAGUUUGAUCAUGGCUCAGAAUCAACGCUGGCGGCGUGCCUAACACAUGCAAGUCGAACGAGAAAGUGGAGCAAUCCAUGAGUAAAGUGGCGCACGGGUGAGUAACACGUGACUAACCUACCCUUGAGUGGGGGAUAACCUAGGGAAACCUGGGCUAAUACCGCAUAAUACCUACGGGUCAAAGGAGCAAUUCGCUUAAGGAGGGGGUCGCGGCCGAUUAGUUAGUUGGCGGGGUAAUGGCCCACCAAGACAGUGAUCGGUAUCCGGCCUGAGAGGGCGCACGGACACACUGGAACUGAAACACGGUCCAGACUCCUACGGGAGGCAGCAGUGGGGAAUUUUGCGCAAUGGGGGAAACCCUGACGCAGCAACGCCGCGUGGAGGAUGAAGUCUCUUGGGACGUAAACUCCUUUCGAUCGGGACGAUAAUGACGGUACCGAGAGAAGAAGCCCCGGCUAACUUCGUGCCAGCAGCCGCGGUAAUACGAGGGGGGCGAGCGUUGUUCGGAAUUAUUGGGCGUAAAGGGUGCGUAGGCGGUUCGGUAAGUCUUGUGUGAAAUCUUCGGGCUCAACUCGAAGUCUGCACUAGAAACUGCCGGGCUUGAGUGUGGGAGAGGUGAGUGGAAUUUCCGGUGUAGCGGUGAAAUGCGUAGAUAUCGGAAGGAACACCUGUGGCGAAAGCGGCUCACUGGACCACAACUGACGCUGAGGCACGAAAGCUAGGGGAGCAAACAGGAUUAGAUACCCUAGUAGUCC
rnacentral:rRNA from 1 species